AUGUUAAGGGGGUGGGGUGUUGUCUUAGUGAGUUGACCUACAGCUUCUGGUAAUUACUGGGAGGAUAGGUGCUAGGUACAAGGAGUGUUUUCACUUACUGUUUCUCUGCUUUCUGUCUAAAGAGAAGAAUCACACCGAGCAGUGGGAGGUCUAAUAGAAGGAAAAGUAAGGAGAGGGAGAAGCUGUACCGUCGUGCUACUAUGAGGAGCACACAAUACAGUUUAGCUGCUGAAGGUUAUUCAGGGUAGUAGUCAAAGCAAGGAAACUCACACUAGUGACAUUAAUGUUCUUUAACAGCUAAAUAGGAGUUUUUAUGUCUAUGUUUUUUUUUUUUUCCCAAGAGAUUUCAAAGUCAUUCAGAAAAAAAUAGUUUCUCUCUUAGAUUAGUGUUUUCCUCUGAUAUGAUGGUCUCAGUUUCCAGUACUAUUUUGACACCUGUUUGGGGAGCAUGCAGAAAAUCAAAAUGUAGAUCUUUGCAGCUGUACUCUUUCCAUAGUAGUACUGUUUUAAAAAAAUUGUGAGUAGACUGACUUAUAUUUUGCUCUCCUACCUUCAAUCAUUUAAUUUAGGUUAUACGGGAAAGCCAUGAAUGUAUCAGCAGUAGAGAUUAAGUCAGCAUGAAACAGUAGUUUAUUUUUAUACAUCAACAUUGUUAAAGGAGCAUAAGAUCAUAGAAUAAUUCAGACAAUAACGAUCUUGAAGAGAUCUCUACUCCAAUUUCUUUCCUACAGCAGAGUCAGCUAUGAGAUCAGACAAGGAUGCUUAGGGCUUUCUCCUCUUUGGUCUAGAAAAUCCCCAAAAGACAGAAUAUCUGGCAACUUGCUUUACUACUGGACUCCGUUACUGUCUGUGGUUAAGAAGUUUUUUCCUUCUAUUGAGUCCAAACUUAUUUUAUUGUAACAAUUGUCCCUUGUCUUCCCACCACUCUGAAGAAUCUUGCCUAACAAAUACUUGGUGUAUUUCAUGGCUCUUCCUGGAAGAACAUUAAUAACAGCUGAGAUAAUUAGAAAGCAUGGGCAAGUCAGAAUGGGCUGUAAGUAUACAAACUGUGUGGUUCAUGUGUGUCUCAGUUUGCAACAGUAAUCUUUGAUGGUCUCCUGCCCUGAGCAUGGAAUAACAGAAUCAGAGAAUUAUCAGCAGUAGGCUGCUGUCCAGUCACCCCUAUACACUCCACUUUGCUAGACCAGAAAAAUCCAACCUCUUCAACCAUAGGUUCACAUAUUUUCAGAUGAAUGCUCACACUGCGGUAAAGGCCUCAGCUGGGAGAGAUUCUACUCCUAGGAUGUUGUCUUAUAUUCACUACCCAAUCAGAGAGAAAAGAAAAUCAUACUAUGGGAAGGAAAACACAGAGUGGAAAACAAAAUAAUAUUUUUGUAAAGUUGACUGUUUUAGGCAAGAAGAUGUACAACCAAAAAUGUGAUUGACUCCUUUUGCCUCUGAAGCUGUUACUUUUAAUCUAGGUUAAAUGUCACUUUGCUGUGAUUCUAUGACUUUGAGUUCUGGAGCGGUGGAGUUCUACUCUUGGAGUAUGCCCUGAUGUGAGGAAGAGAACGCUUGCUUUGGAGAAGGUAUAUUCAAUCCUGCAGAUAAAGCUGAGCCAGUAACCCAUUUUUAAUGGCCUGCUGUUCCAGUUAGGAAAGGUUAUAUGGAUUAACUAAUUUCAGCAAAUCAUUGAGUUUAAGUAGGAUGUAAGUGUAAAAAGUAAAUCUGUCAAAGCUAGACACAUUAUUAAGAAAUCAUAACAGCAGAAAUCAGACUCUGAGUGUUUUCCUAGGUGUCUGCUUGUCUUAUGCAUCUAAACAGAGUGGUUUUGGUCUGUUUGAAUUAUUCCUUCAGCUUAAAUCCACAGUCUUGAUAAAUGUUCUUUAGAUUUAUUAUACAUAUUUUCAGAUAAGAUAAUACUGUAAAGAUCACUAGAAUUCAUUUACCUUACAGGAGAAUUCAAGUGCUAUUAAAAAUAUUUCCCAUAAUUUACAGAUGUUCACAUAAUGCUCUGUUUUUUGUACUUCCCUAUAUUUUUGCUUGACAGGUGACUGAACAUAAACACUGUAAUAUAGUGAAUUUAUUUCCAUAUACUUUAGCUUGGGUUGAUU
rnacentral:lncRNA from 7 species